UCUUCGGUGCCAUUAGCUCCUGAAACGCAAACACUUGGUUAAUUAUCUUAACCCGUUCGUUCCGUCGUAAUUACGACACAUAACAACUCGUCAACAAAAUCGGGCGGAAGCACACAAGUGUACUCAUUCUAGUCUCUUGGCGUCAUGUCGUCGGCCGCUGACACAACCACCUUAAGUCGAGAACUAAUACCACUUGAAUCCGUCUCUAUUCACAACUAGAGACAUAUUACCAACUUCGACCCAAUCGAAUUAACUCCCGCCACCGCCAUAGGUUCAUGUUCCAC
rnacentral:lncRNA from 1 species